rnacentral:rRNA from 1 species
UAAGCGACUAAGCGUACACGGUGGAUGCCCUGGCAGUCAGAGGCGAUGAAGGACGUGCUAAUCUGCGAUAAGCGUCGGUAAGGUGAUAUGAACCGUUAUAACCGGCGAUUUCCGAAUGGGGAAACCCAGUGUGUUUCGUCACACUAUCAUUAACUGAAUCCAUAGGUUAAUGAGGCGAACCGGGGGAACUGAAACAUCUAAGUACCCCGAGGAAAAGAAAUCAACCGAGAUUCCCCCAGUAGCGGCGAGCGAACGGGGAGCAGCCCAGAGCCUGAAUCAGUGUGUGUGUUAGUGGAAGCGUCUGGAAAGGCGCGCGAUACAGGGUGACAGCCCCGUACACAAAAAUGCACAUGCUGUGAGCUCGAUGAGUAGGGCGGGACACGUGGUAUCCUGUCUGAAUAUGGGGGGACCAUCCUCCAAGGCUAAAUACUCCUGACUGACCGAUAGUGAACCAGUACCGUGAGGGAAAGGCGAAAAGAACCCCGGCGAGGGGAGUGAAAAAGAACCUGAAACCGUGUACGUACAAGCAGUGGGAGCACGCUUAGGCGUGUGACUGCGUACCUUUUGUAUAAUGGGUCAGCGACUUAUAUUCUGUAGCAAGGUUAACCGAAUAGGGGAGCCGAAGGGAAACCGAGUCUUAACUGGGCGUUAAGUUGCAGGGUAUAGACCCGAAACCCGGUGAUCUAGCCAUGGGCAGGUUGAAGGUUGGGUAACACUAACUGGAGGACCGAACCGACUAAUGUUGAAAAAUUAGCGGAUGACUUGUGGCUGGGGGUGAAAGGCCAAUCAGACCGGGAGAUAGCUGGUUCUCCCCGAAAGCUAUUUAGGUAGCGCCUCGUGAAUUCAUCUCCGGGGGUAGAGCACUGUUUCGGCAAGGGGGUCAUCCCGACUUACCAACCCGAUGCAAACUGCGAAUACCGGAGAAUGUUAUCACGGGAGACACACGGCGGGUGCUAACGUCCGUCGUGAAGAGGGAAACAACCCAGACCGCCAGCUAAGGUCCCAAAGUCAUGGUUAAGUGGGAAACGAUGUGGGAAGGCCCAGACAGCCAGGAUGUUGGCUUAGAAGCAGCCAUCAUUUAAAGAAAGCGUAAUAGCUCACUGGUCGAGUCGGCCUGCGCGGAAGAUGUAACGGGGCUAAACCAUGCACCGAAGCUGCGGCAGCGACGCUGAUGCGUUGUUGGGUAGGGGAGCGUUCUGUAAGCCUGUGAAGGUGUGCUGUGAGGCAUGCUGGAGGUAUCAGAAGUGCGAAUGCUGACAUAAGUAACGAUAAAGCGGGUGAAAAGCCCGCUCGCCGAAAGACCAAGGGUUCCUGUCCAACGUUAAUCGGGGCAGGGUGAGUCGACCCCUAAGGCGAGGCCGAAAGGCGUAGUCGAUGGGAAACAGGUUAAUAUUCCUGUACUUGGUGUUACUGCGAAGGGGGGACGGAGAAGGCUAUGUUGGCCGGGCGACGGUUGUCCCGGUUUAAGCGUGUAGGCUGGUUUUCCAGGCAAAUCCGGAAAAUCAAGGCUGAGGCGUGAUGACGAGGCACUACGGUGCUGAAGCAACAAAUGCCCUGCUUCCAGGAAAAGCCUCUAAGCAUCAGGUAACAUCAAAUCGUACCCCAAACCGACACAGGUGGUCAGGUAGAGAAUACCAAGGCGCUUGAGAGAACUCGGGUGAAGGAACUAGGCAAAAUGGUGCCGUAACUUCGGGAGAAGGCACGCUGAUAUGUAGGUGAAGUCCCUCGCGGAUGGAGCUGAAAUCAGUCGAAGAUACCAGCUGGCUGCAACUGUUUAUUAAAAACACAGCACUGUGCAAACACGAAAGUGGACGUAUACGGUGUGACGCCUGCCCGGUGCCGGAAGGUUAAUUGAUGGGGUUAGCGCAAGCGAAGCUCUUGAUCGAAGCCCCGGUAAACGGCGGCCGUAACUAUAACGGUCCUAAGGUAGCGAAAUUCCUUGUCGGGUAAGUUCCGACCUGCACGAAUGGCGUAAUGAUGGCCAGGCUGUCUCCACCCGAGACUCAGUGAAAUUGAACUCGCUGUGAAGAUGCAGUGUACCCGCGGCAAGACGGAAAGACCCCGUGAACCUUUACUAUAGCUUGACACUGAACAUUGAGCCUUGAUGUGUAGGAUAGGUGGGAGGCUUUGAAGUGUGGACGCCAGUCUGCAUGGAGCCGACCUUGAAAUACCACCCUUUAAUGUUUGAUGUUCUAACGUUGACCCGUGAUCCGGGUUGCGGACAGUGUCUGGUGGGUAGUUUGACUGGGGCGGUCUCCUCCUAAAGAGUAACGGAGGAGCACGAAGGUUGGCUAAUCCUGGUCGGACAUCAGGAGGUUAGUGCAAUGGCAUAAGCCAGCUUGACUGCGAGCGUGACGGCGCGAGCAGGUGCGAAAGCAGGUCAUAGUGAUCCGGUGGUUCUGAAUGGAAGGGCCAUCGCUCAACGGAUAAAAGGUACUCCGGGGAUAACAGGCUGAUACCGCCCAAGAGUUCAUAUCGACGGCGGUGUUUGGCACCUCGAUGUCGGCUCAUCACAUCCUGGGGCUGAAGUAGGUCCCAAGGGUAUGGCUGUUCGCCAUUUAAAGUGGUACGCGAGCUGGGUUUAGAACGUCGUGAGACAGUUCGGUCCCUAUCUGCCGUGGGCGCUGGAGAACUGAGGGGGGCUGCUCCUAGUACGAGAGGACCGGAGUGGACGCAUCACUGGUGUUCGGGUUGUCAUGCCAAUGGCACUGCCCGGUAGCUAAAUGCGGAAGAGAUAAGUGCUGAAAGCAUCUAAGCACGAAACUUGCCCCGAGAUGAGUUCUCCCUGACUCCUUGAGAGUCCUGAAGGAACGUUGAAGACGACGACGUUGAUAGGCCGGGUGUGUAAGCGCAGCGAUGCGUUGAGCUAACCGGUACUAAUGAACCGUGAGGCUUAACCU